rnacentral:lncRNA from 1 species
AGUCAAGCUCAACUCCCAGUCCUACUGCCAGUUCCUGGAAGACACCUUCUUCAAGCAGUGGUACAGGAAGAAGUCUGCAUCCUUCAAGAAAAACAUGAUUUUCAUGCAGGACAAUGCUCCAUCACACGCGUCCAAGUACUCCACAGCGUGGCUGGCAAGAAAGGGUAUAAAAGAAGAAAAUCUAAUGACAUGGCCUCCUUGUUCACCUGAUCUGAACCCCAUUGAGAACCUGUGGUCCAUCAUCAAAUGUGAGAUAUACAAGGAGGGAAAACAGUACACCUCUCUGAACAGUGUCUGGGAGGCUGUGGUUGCUGCUGCACGCAAUGUUGAUGGUGAACAGAUCAAAACACUGACAGAAUCCAUGGAUGGCAGGCUUUUGAGUGUCCUUGCAAAGAAAGGUGGCUAUAUUGGUCACUGAUUUGUUUUUGGUUUUGUUUUUGAAUGUCAGAAAUGUAUAUUUGUGAAUGUUGAGAUGUUAUAUUGGUUUCACUGGUAAUAAUAAAUAAUUGAAAUGGGUAUAUAUUUGUUUUUUGUUAAGUUG